rnacentral:rRNA from 1 species
AGCGAACGCUGGCGGCAGGCUUAACACAUGCAAGUCGAGCGGAUGUAGCAAUACAUCAGCGGCAGACGGGUGAGUAACACGUGGGAACGUACCUUUUGGUUCGGGACAACCCAGGGAAACUUGGGCUAAUACCGGAUAAGCCCUUACGGGGAAAGAUUUAUCGCCGAAAGAUCGGCCCGCGUCUGAUUAGCUAGUUGGUGAGGUAAUGGCUCACCAAGGCGACGAUCAGUAGCUGGUCUGAGAGGAUGAUCAGCCACAUUGGGACUGAGACACGGCCCAAACUCCUACGGGAGGCAGCAGUGGGGAAUAUUGGACAAUGGGCGCAAGCCUGAUCCAGCCAUGCCGCGUGAGUGAUGAAGGCCCUAGGGUUGUAAAGCUCUUUUGUGCGGGAAGAUAAUGACUGUACCGGGAGAAUAAGCCCGGCUAACUCCGUGCCAGCAGCCGCGGUAAU